rnacentral:rRNA from 1 species
GACGAACGCUGGCGGCGUGCUUAACACAUGCAAGUCGAACGGAAAGGCCCUGCUUUUGUGGGGUGCUCGAGUGGCGAAAGGGUGAGUAACACGUGAGUAACCUGCCCUUGACUUUGGGAUAACUUCAGGAAACUGGGGCUAAUACCGGAUAGGAGCUCCUGCUGCAUGGUGGGGGUUGGAAAGUUUCGGCGGUUGGGGAUGGACUCGCGGCUUAUCAGCUUGUUGGUGGGGUAGUGGCUUAACAAGGCUUUGACGGGUAGCCGGCCUGAGAGGGUGACCGGCCACAGUGGGACUGAGAUACGGCCCAGACUCCUACGGGAGGCAGCAGUGGGGAAUAUUGCACAAUGGGCGGAAGCCUGAUGCAGCAACGCCGCGUGCGGGAUGACGGCCUUCGGGUUGUAAACCGCUUUCGCCUGUGACGAAGCGUGAGUGACGGUAAUGUGUAAAGAAGCACCGGCUAACUACGUG